rnacentral:rRNA from 1 species
UUCGUCCUACGGGGCGCAGCAGUGGGGAAUAUUGCACAAUGGGGGGAACCCUGAUGCAGCGACGCCGCGUGGGUGAAGAAGUAUUUCGGUAUGUAAAGCCCUCUCAGCAGGGAAGAAGAAUGACGGUACCUGACUAAGAAGCACCGGCUAAAUACGUGCCAGCAGCCGCGGUAAUACGUAUGGUGCAAGCGUUAUCCGGAUUUACUGGGUGUAAAGGGAGCGCAGGCGGUGCGGCAAGUCUGAUGUGAAAGCCCGGGGCCCAACCCAGGUACUGCAUUGGAAACUGCCGAACUUGAGGGUCGGAG